GACGAACGCUGGCGGCGUGCUUAACACAUGCAAGUCGAACGGUAAGGCCCUUCGGGGUACACGAGUGGCGAACGGGUGAGUAACACGUGGGUGAUCUGCCCUGCACUUCGGGAUAAGCCUGGGAAACUGGGGCUAAUACCGGAUAGGACUCCUGACUGCAUGGGUGGGGGUGGAAAGCUUUUGCGGUGUGGGAUGGGCCCGCGGCCUAUCAGCUUGUUGGUGGGGUGAUGGCCUACCAAGGCGACGACGGGUAGCCGGGCUGAGAGGGUGACCGGGCACACUGGGACUGAGAAACGGCCCAGACUCCUACGGGAGGCAGCAGUGGGGAAUAUUGCACAAUGGGCGCAAGCCUGAUGCAGCGACGCCGCGUGAGGGAUGACGGCCUUCGGGUUGUAAACCUCUUUCAGCACAGACGAAGCGCAAGUGACGGUAUGGGCAGAAGAAGGACCGGCCAACUACGUGCCAGCCGCCGCCGUAA
rnacentral:rRNA from 1 species